UACGUAGGGGGCGAGCGUUGUCCGGAUUUAUUGGGCGUAAAGAGCGUGUAGGCGGUUCGGUAAGUCUGUCGUGAAAUCCUGAGGCUCAACCUCGGGCGUGCGAUGGAUACUGCCGGGCUAGAGGGUGGUAGAGGCGAGUGGAAUUCCCGGUGUAGCGGUGAAAUGCGUAGAUAUCAGGAGGAACACCGGUGGCGAAGGCGGAUCUCUGGGCCUUACCUGACGCUCAGGCGCGAAAGCUAGGGGAGCGAACUGG
rnacentral:rRNA from 1 species